AUAUCUAACAACCAAACACACCAACAAUAUGGGCACUGGGUGAUCCCAUCUGAACGCAGGGCGCCUGAAUGAACAUUAAAAUCAUAUGAACAUAUUAAGUAAUAACUCCAAAUACGUUUAACCCCGGAACAUUCGACUGACCCUAAAUGUUCUGCCUCUAUCUUUUCUUGAUCUUUUGAUGAAACAGUGAUCAAAUGGAACGAAAGGACGGAGGACAGAGGCCAAGCAAGGCAGCGGGGGAGAGAGAGAAUUACACCUUCGAUAUUAGUCAUAAUUCAAGAUGACUGCCUUUGGGGAAUGUGGUGUUUUACGGCAUUUAAUUUAAAUACGAGGUGUCUGAGCAUUUUAAUCAAAGUUUGGCCAAGAACUAUUUAGCUACGUAGUGGACGCGAUAUCUCGUAACGUCCUGUGACUGAAUUGUGAAAUAGUAUGUAAAACUUGUUGGGGAUAACUACUGUUGCAAAUAUUUUCGACAGAAACUUAUUUAAACAACAGUUAUAUUUUUUGAGACUUCACAAAAGGUUUGCUCGAUACAGUAUGGUCACGAUCAAGACACUGGAUUUUUCCCCCCUCAGUGUGUCACACAAAGUUACGUGAAUGAGAAAGUAUGGCUCUCUGUCAAAUUUUGGAUUUUUGCAGAUGACAAAAGGUUCUGUUUGAUCAGCGGCAGCUUUCACAGACCUCGGCUCAGGGAUUAAUACAGACGGAUGGCAGUGAAAAGAUGUAACAUGUAAAACUGUAUAUGUAACACUGGAAAUUAACCCAUUUUCUCCUGACCAAAACCACCUCCAAUCAACUUAUUGUAUUCAAUUUAAGAGUAUUCUUCCAAACUUCAGCUCACCAGCAAAGGCUAUGUGUAUGCGUUUACGUAUGUGAAUUAACCUGCACCGUUUCACCUGCACAGAGAGUUCGGGUGAGGAAAAACCGACUGGAACAAAAGUAAUCUGGAGAAUUGAGGAUCCUUACAAAAUGAGGAGAGACCCUGAAACACACGCCACCUAUCUUCACGGAGAGGGAUAAUUGAGGAGCACCAAACUUAUCUACUGUAUGGAUAAUUAAAUCAUCAAUCAAGGGGCUUGCCUAUUUGAUGCCUUUGUUCAAAGCCAAUCGGGUUCCAGGGAACGGGCAAUGUGCUGACGUGCAAUUCAAUGGCCAGUUGUGUCCACGCGCUUCUUUUGCUCCAGCUUUGUUACCCACGGUCAGAAGGACGGAACCAGGACACACAUUCAAUUAAUGUUUGACACCGAUAGAACUCGCUUUCCCCUCGCCCCUCUCCCGACCCCUCAACCCCCAGCCUCUUCUCCAGCAGUCCUGACCGAAAAGGUAAGUCCUCCAAAACAGGAGCCCUUCCACUUAAGAAAUGUGACUUAUUGGCCCGCCAAAUUAAUAAUUGACGUUUGCUAUGAUGAAUUAUUAAUCAAACAUUUGAAUAAUUGUUGUAUCUCUAAUCUCUACAUUCAUUUGCAUAUCUGCCUUUUAAUUUCAGCUGUUGUAUGUGAAAGCCACUUUCUCUUUGGAUUCAAAGAUAUUAUAAAUAUGUUUUACUCGACUCCUCAAAUCAUACCUUUCUCUUCAAAGGUCAUUCUGUGGAGUGGUCAUUUAAUGUGGCACAGACUGAAAAUCACAAUUAACCAAUUAACAAAUAAUAACUUUGUAUAGGUACACUGGACUGUCAUCAUUGCCAUAUUUAGAUCUUUAAAUCUUUUUUUUUUCAGUCCUAAGUAUAUUACACUAGCAGUAAUUAUGACUUUUGUUUCUGCACGAUAUAUAUUUUUUUGUUGACAAUUCUCUAUUAUUUUAAAGGCAAUAACAUUAUUCUGUAUUAUGCUAAAUAACCGGGGCCAACUGGUUGUAUAAUGAAUCCUUUAUUCAGGCACCUGAAUAGUAUUAUGACCAGGCUCUGUGCUACGACUAAUCCUGCCUGAAUUCCAUGAAAAGCAAGCGAGGAGCGAGCGGGCUCGACUGCAGGCGAGAGAGCGGAACACGGUCCGCCUGUUCAUCCUGUCUGUCGGAGCUGUUCUUCACCGACCACCUGACUGUGUCACCGGCAUAAUAGCGUAGGCUGGACUUAAUGACAGGCUAGGUGCAGUUCCCUGAUUUAAUACAAAAUUGAAUGUAACAGAGGUAAAAAAAAAAAAAGUGAGAAUUUAACAUAUAGUUUUGAUAUUAGGGAUGUUUAUAAAAUUCUCAUUUUUUUUUAUUCCACGAACGUUAGCGCUCUGCCGGUUCUAGAAAGUUCUGAAAGCAUGAGGGACGAGCGCGGCCCCAGAUGUGGGAGGAGACAGACGUCACAUGACACCGGUAGCUCAUGACUCACGGCGACUGCAGCUGACCACCGUGACCAAUUUGACAUGGAAGGGUAAGGAGAAACUCACAAGGUAGGGAGAGUCCGAUUUGCUGCAUUUUUGGGCAAGUAUAGGUCAUUGUAGAGUUUUUGGCUAGGCCCUAAUUUGUUGAAAGUGAGAAGAAGGAAAAAAAAAAAGCCAGCUAAUCAGAAUAAUCUCUUUGUUUCGUGUUUUUACAAAGCAAAUAUUAAACAAACCCGCAGUGCAUAAAACCUUUUUUUUUCCUUAGAAGCGGUGUGUGUGUGUGUCAAUAAAACAAGCUUUAAACAAC